GACAGAUCCCUUGAGUCCAGGAGUUGGAGACCAGCCUGGGCAACAUGGUAAAACCCCAUCUCUACAAAAUAUACAAAAAUUGGCUGGGGGUGGUGGCGUGCACCUGUAGUCCCAGAUACUUGGGAGGUUGAAAUGGGAGUCUCGUUUGAGUCUGUGAGAUCGAGGCUGCAGUGAGCCAUGAUCUCACCACUGCACUCCAGCCUAGGUGACACAGUGAGACCCUGUCUCAAAAAUAAACAAAUAAAACCAGCUAGAGCAUAUAAGGUGCCAGAGUGGGAAAUCAGGUGCUGGACGUCAGCAGAGGCUGGUUUACAAAGGCCCGUGCCACACAAUGAGGUUCAGACUUCCUUUGUCUUUAGGCAGUGACUCCAUGGCCAUAUUCUCCCUCUCUCUAAACCCUUCCCACAGGCCACAGGUAGACAUUAGUGACAGCUUCUUACCUUCACUGUAUUUUACCUGCCCAUAUCUACCUGAACCUACAGACGAAAGUCCCAUCUCUUAUACACAGACACACAUGCAGACACGUGUGCACACACACACUGGCCCUCUAGGGGGACCUUUGUCCAACCCACCCCAGAUACAGCUGGGAGAGACAGCGACCCUGCCUCUGGGUGCUUAUAGUUUCAGGAGCAUCAGCCAAACAUUAUAUGAGACACAAAGAAACUGUCAGCAAGAUAGAUUCAGCAACUUCGUUUGCCCUUUGAUAUGAAUAAAACCUUCUCAGGACCAGCUUAGGCUAAGCUGUGUGGAAAUGGGAAGCAGGCAUAGAGCUGAGCCCAGUGGCCCCCAGCACUGCCCUGUCCCCACCUGUGUCUUGCUACGGCUGCCUGGUCAGUCCUGCUCUCAGAUAUCUGGACCCCUGCAACUCCUCACUUCCCUAACUCUUCCUCGCCUUGUUACCAUCUAAUGAUUGGCGUCCACCACAUCCUAUAUCACCAGUUAGGAGGUGAGUUUCUCAUGAGCAAAACUAGGGCGUGGCUUAUCCUGGGCACCUCCCACAGCCUAGCACUCAGGUGCUCAGUAAAUGUGGGGUGAACAGGACCUAGCAUGCUGGGCAAAGACACUCAGAAGACAGAGCUGAAAAUGCUCAUCUUGCCAACAUUCUCCAAGACUCCAAGCCUUGGGGCUAUUUAGCAUUUUAUAACAACCAAGUCCACUACUCCUGUACUGAGAUUAAAAUUGAAAAUCAAGUUUAUAAGCACCCUUAUAGUUUACAAAGCACUUACACAUCCAGGAUUUCAUCUGACUCUCUUACAACAGCAAAGUAGGAGUUUUUACUAAGCCCAUUUUGUGGAUAACGAAAUGGAGUCUCAGAAAAGCAGAGACUUGCUCAGGUCAUCUCUGCUCCCAGGUAAGUAUGCAGUAGGGCUUGCACCUGUGACUUCUAAUUUCAAGCCCCAUGCUAAUUGCCUACAGCUUCUCUACCCUCUUACGCAGGAAAUACCACAAAUACAUAGCCCCCAGAGUCCCUGCUCCUCCACCUGAAGCCAGAACCACCAACCAGAACAGAAGCCAGCAGCCACAGAGUGAAGAGAAGCUGCAGCUGCUACCCAUGGGCUGGCAUUGCCUACCACUGAGCCAGGGGCAGGCUGCCUGGGCACAUACCCGCCCAUCCCCACCCCUCAUGGUGGAGAAAGAGCAGUAAUCAUCCUCGCUCUGCAGCUGUGGAAAGCGAGCCUCAGAGGAACAGACAAGCACCAGCAAAGGCAGGACCCAAUUGCAGGCUCACCACCUGUCAGCAGCCCUAAGACUCAGAGUCGCCUUGCAGGGAGGCACCUUCAAGAUGGCACAACUGCUGAGGAGUCAUCUGCAGCCCCUUCACCCACCUCUACAGUCAAAGGGCAAAAACGGCAGUGUAGUGCCAGUCCACAUUUACCUACCACAGGAAGCAGCAGCUUAGCACCUGGGCUCUGGAACCAGGCCACCUGGGUUUACAUCCCGGCUCUGCUGCUUCCUAACAAGAGCAUGAACCGCCUGUGACUUGGCUUCCCCAUUUGUAAAACUAUCAACCUCAAAGGGUUGUUUGUGGAUUGAGUUUAUAUACAGCAGUUAGAACAGCAUUAGUUACAUCUUAUGUACCCAUGCAAGUGUUAGUUCUUCAGACCUACUACAUUAAGUGUCUGGAAGGUACCUACUGUGGGUACAACAGGAGCUGGUAAUCUAGCUGGAGAGUAUUUAUUUAUGGGGAAGGAGUCUUGCUGUGUCGCCCAGGCUGGAAUGCAAUAGCACCAUCUCAGCUCACUGCAACCUCCGCUUCCUGGGUUUAGGCAAUUCUCCUGCGUCAGCCUCCUGAGUAGCUGGGAUUACAGGCACCUGCCUGAAGGGAUGGGUUGCUCCUCCACACCUGUGGGCACUUCUCAUUAGGUGGAACGAGACUUGGAAAAGAGACACAGAGACAAAGUGUAGAGAAAGAAAAAAAGGGGGCCCAGGGUGUGUCUGGAAUUGGUAGGUCCUUGGUCUCACUGACUUCAAGAAUGAAGCCACGGACCCUCGCGGUGAGGUGAGUGUUACAACUCUUAAGGUGGCGCGUCUGAAGUUUGUUUUUUCUGACGUUCAGAUGUGUUUGGAGUUUCUUCCUUCUGGUGGGUUUGUGGUCUUGCUGGCUUAAGGAGUGAAACUGCAGACCUUCGCGUUGAGUGUUACAGCUCUUAAGGCAGCAAGUCUAGGAGUUAUUCGUUUCUCCCAGUGGGCUCAUAGUCUCACUGGCUUCAGGAGUGAAGCUGCAGACCUUCGUGGUGAGUGUUACUGCUCAUAAAAGCAGUGCAGACCCAAAGCGUGAAAGAACAAAGCUUCCACCACGUGAAAGGAGACCCGAGCGGGUUGCUACUGCUGGCUCACGCAGCCUGCU
rnacentral:lncRNA from 10 species